CGGAUGGAGCCGCGUUACAUCUCGUACCGAUGCAUUCAGUCCGUUGCCGAGCGGCGCCCGCGGACUCUAAGUUUGCGACAGUCGCAAGCCUCUCGUUCCACCCCUGCGUGUGGGUAGCGUCGACCCGCGGGGCUGGCGCUGCGAGGCAUCAGGGUGCACUUGCUGCGGUUUGUACACGCCACUACCGGUUCCUUUGCAUGCAGUCUUGACUCGCGGGUGGUUUGGCCUCGCUCCUGCGUGGAUCCUUGCCAUCCGCUGGCGCAGGUUCGACGCUCGGAUCGGACACUCACCUGGGGACCUAGCACGCGUAUGCCCGGUGCUUCCGUACGCGGGCGUUCACCAGCCGAGCGCGUUGAGGUCUGCCCUCGUGGUCUGCUCCUCGCCGUUACACGGGCUUCGGCGAGCUCUCGCCUCCGUCCCGAUGCUCCCCCCGAGUGUCGUGUGGCGGAUCAAGUCGGUACUCCAGCCGACCCG
rnacentral:rRNA from 1 species